rnacentral:lncRNA from 1 species
GCCCAGGGCGGCCGGGCCCACGACGCCGAAAGCGCCGCUGCGGUUGCCGCCUCGGAGGCUCCCCCGGGCCCCGGCGGCUGGACCCGGCGCGGGCGGGAGGCUCGGGCGGGCGGUCCGGCCCGGGACUCGGGUUUGGGCGACCAGGAGGUGCCGGUGGCCGCGCUCGGACCCGGUUCUCCAACGGAGGAGCUUUUUAACCUCUUUCCGGUGAGGUGGGAACUCAUCUUCAUGAUCGAAUUUAAAAGAACAAUGGAACCCUGACUACGUUUCAACAAAAAUAAAACUUGUUUUUUUCCCUCCUAUUGGGUGUUGGCUUUUAACUCUUUCAAAGCCGAUUUUGAAACGGCUGCAGUGAUACAUGCGAAGGUGACUUAAGAGAUUAAAAUUAAUUUGGUUGCUGAUGGUUCUGAACAAAUAAUGAGUUCUUUUAUUUGAGGUAUGCCAUUUUGAAGACUGAGACAUUGGAGUUUUAUCCUAGAGGAUAAAGGAA